AGAUAUAUGUGGCAGGGAUGAUAAAGCGCUGUUUUCCUAAAGCCGACCAAGACUAGUGAAACUAAAGCUUGGGUCUCGGCUGUGGCUUUGAACAGUCGAUUUGGCACCAAUAGUCAUCCGAAUGUUCAUUUGAAAGACUAUUGGGGGGGCAUUGUUGAUACCAAAAUUGAGCCGACCUAACCCACGUAUGAGCCAAUAAGGACACGUGGUACACCAGAAGUCGGCAAUAAGGCGCC
rnacentral:lncRNA from 1 species